CACAUUUAAACCACCUCAGUGAUUGGUGCCUUCCUCCUAAAAUCCAGCUAAAAGCAAUUGAAAAAGCUUUCUGCUUGUAUUCAGUUGCGCCUGAAUACAUGCAAACAAAAUGCUAAGAAAAGCGUUACUUACGUUUCUGCCAUAAAGCCAUAAUAUGAAGAAAGCUUAGGAUAACGAGGCUAAUUCCAUAAAGCUGCCUCAGCUGGAUCUGUAGCAAUUGGGUACUAAAGCCCUAUGUCAAUUUUUAUGUACAACGUAAAAAACACGAUUAAAAACCAUUUCUGAUCACUUUUUUCAUUUUAAUGCAAUUUUUUUUUACAAGACAACGUUUUUUCGAUGGAUCAACUAUAGUCCCCUUGGAACGAGCUGUCAUGUAGGAGCUUUUCUGUCAAGAAGGACCGCGAGGUUAAUUUUUCAAAAUUGAUUUAAAAAUCCAUUUUAAACUCUUUAUGGUCGUACAAAGGGUCAUUGUAUUCAGAAAAAUAAGCUUUAUCGCUGUAAAAAAUAAUAACACUUAAGUGAUUAUAACAUUUGAUACGGUUAUCAGAUCUUCAAUGUCUUGGAAUCAUUGGACAGGUCUUUUCAAUACCUUUCUAAAAAUGUAUAGCAUGACGGGUUUUCCUACAAAAACCACCCUUUUUACAAUCUUCCGGACUUUAGGCAAAAUCGUUUUUUAAAGAUUUUUCGAUUCUUCCAUUCAGACGUUUAGCUUGUACGGGAUAACUAAACAUCACCGUUUAUAGAUAGUGACUUAGGGGGCCCCAAGACGGAUCUAAUGAUGCCAAAAUGGACAAAAUCGGUUCAGCCAGUUCCGAGAUAAUUGAGUGCAAUUAUUUUGAUCAACAUCCAACCACCCGCACAGACAUUUGCUCAGAAUUUGAUUCUGAGUCGAUAUGUAUACAUGAAGCUGGGUCUAGGAGGUCAAAUAAGAAGUUCGUUUUUCGAGUGAUUUUAUAGCCUUUCCUCAUUGAGGUGAGGAAGGCAAAAAUUGGUUGAUGUUAAAGGGAACAUUUUCCGUGAUAUGAAUUUUUGAAGAAUCGGUCCGACAAAUUUUUCAUUUCUACAUCGGUUUGAUACCAACACAUCCGCUUAUCUAUGGAUCAAGACGCUGCGCCGGCUAUGUGACUUUGACUGACGUCAUAAAACUUUCUGCGUCUCGGACGCGCGUUUGCAAUAGAAGAUCGCGCGCCGACUGGCACGCACACUAUAGUCACGCGAUGUGACGCGCCUAAUGCAUAGCUCCAAGCUCCAAGACGGCAGAAUUGAGUAGAUCCAAGCAAGCGGCGCUCGCUAGCUCCUCAGGUCACAAGAGAAGAAACGCUCUAAUCGAUGACGUCGUCGGCGUCGCCACCGCUGCCUCCUUGGUUGGAUACCGCAGCAGCAGUUGGGAAGGUGUUUGAAAGGAACCGAAAAGUAUCGACUCAUGCUGACAACAACGAUGUUGUUACAGUUUGGUUGUGUACUUUGUACCGUUUCUUCGCGGGGUUCCAGUGAAGGUAGCAGAGCAGAAGAACCCCAAAGUCAUCCAGAGUUGUAAACCGCUGGCGAAUGAUCGAGAUUUCGCUGAAACGACCCUGAUGUGGUCACGUACACCCGAGAAAAAGGACCAUGUGACGGGGACCACGUACCGUUGAUUGACCACCAGGUAGAGAGCAUGAGAUCAGAAAGGGAGAGAAAGAUCAGCACGAUGAUCGAUCGUUGUAGUGCAGAAGUGGAUUACGGGAUGGCUUCGUCACGGCGUAGUCAUCAACCAACAACAACAACAACAGCCGAUGAAGGUGUAGCUAAACAGACGGAAGAAAGACGCGGAGAGAAACUGCCGACGCGCUUGAGGUGUAGAGGAGAAGGAGCGUGCGGCGGGGACAGAGGUGUGUGUGGGAAGGUUUUUGCAAGUCAUGCUCACAGUUGCGAUACGGCUUAAGGCCGGGGCCGGCCGAAUGCCGAUAUCGUGGAAGAAAUUUGCGAUUGCGACGAAAAAAAAACAAACCCGUUCUGGGUACACAAAGACAAUUAAAAAAACAGUUGGAUUUUGGCGCGGUAAUCAAUACAGGAUUGACGAUUACGACGAAAUUGGCACGACUUUGACAAUCUGGAAGAUCGUGUGAAGUGCGCAUGCAUGUUUAAGAAAGGUUAGCUGGAGAUCAAAACCUGAAAAUGGAAAACCAUUCAAGCAGAUUUUGCUUUUUUCUACAAUGUAUUUCCUACGGAAGAACUGACAUUUCCACCACUCGAACCCGGUACUCUAUUCUGACAGCUAGGACCACAAAGCUAGGCAAUACUUGUAAUGGCCUAUCUAGGCUUAGGAAUUUGAAUCCAUGGAAAGGAAUUUGAUCAUCUACAAUGGAAAAGUAGAAGGGGAAAUAUACCCAUUUUAAGCCUAUUAAAUGGUCGUGUUUGAAUGAUGCUGGAUAAUCUGGAGUGUCCAAUGAAAUUUACACAAAGAAAACUAUUUUUUGAUUGAUACAUUCUCAAACAAGAUUUGGCCAAAUGGCCGAUCGGGUUUUAUACCUUUCAGUGCCUUAAGUCGUUUUAGGCACGAUCUCGAAUGCCUUUUUGUCAAACUUCAGCGGUAAACUAUGGAUUGCAACAUGAUUUUAAUUAAUCAUCGAACGACAUGUUUGAUUCAUAUUAUUAGGAAAAUAUAAAGGGUACUAAACUCAGUCUUCAAUGCUUGCAUUGAUUAGGCUGGUACAAAUUUUACAAAGUUUGUUUAAAGUUUUUGUCUCCCCUCCCUCCUUUAAAGUUGGCCCAAAAAAUUCAAAAUUUUAAUGGAAAUUUAAGUGCAAUCAGCUGAAUUCAAAUUAAAAUGCAUUUCCCUGCGUUUAGAAUCAUUUUAGCAUGUUUGGGUUGAUUUAAAAAUCUAUUGAACUUUUGAAAAUUUUCGAUGUUUAUUAUCGCAAGAAGUUUUUUUUUCGCUAAAAUUUUUGUUUUUGUCAAAUCUUAAAUUUGAAUAAAUAUAUAUAUAUAUAUAUUUAUUCUUGUGGCAAAUUUAAUGUACUUUCAGAUGGCAGAAUGUGUUAAAUAAAAUGGGAUGUACAAAUUUUAGUUACAUUUUAAGUUGCAAACUUGUCGGGAUCUUUUUGGGCAGAUUUCCCGGAAACGGGAUUUGUUUUUCGGCGGGAGAUCCCAAAAAUUCCCAAGAUGAGAAUUUGGACGCUCUAGCCUGUUCCACUAUUUGAAAAAUUGCAUAAUUCCUGCAUCCUCUGCAGAAGUUCUGCAACAAGAUAUUUCACGAGUAAGAGUGCGAGUUUGUGGUCAAAAACAUCUACAGGAGUAUUAGGUAAUGUUGUUUUUUUUUCUUAUUUGUUUUACUUCAAUUUACGUUCUUUGAUGUAUAGGAGAUAGAAUAGAGCCUAUCGAGGCUAUCAAAUGUUUCAAUACAAAAAAUCAUAAAACAGAACAACAUAACAACGCAAAGAUAUCAAAACUCACACAACGACAUCAUUAAAAUAAAACUUAUUAUAAGUAAAAAAAAGAAAAGGUUUCAAACCGCCAAGGUUCAAGAGAAGUAUAAAAGUAUAACAUACAUGGUAAGUAAACAUUUCGUGCAUACUAUUUUAUUAAAAAAUAACCGUUUUACUUGUAGUUCUCAGGCGUAAAAAAAUAACGUGUGCAGCGAAAUAAUAUUCCGUGUUUAAGAAUGAAUAAAAUAUAAGAGAGGUCCUUCUUUUAUUAACAAAAAGAUAUCUUUUUUCUAAAAAAAAAAGACAUUUCAAAAUAAACACGAGCAUUCUUCAGACAAGGCAGAGCAAACCAAAGCGCGCAUCAAGUGCGCCAACUGUGGAGCUAACCAUACCAGCAACUAUCGUGGAUGCAGGGCACGGAAAAACUACCUCGAUGAGCGUUAGCUCCUGGUUUGGGGCGAUCGUUUACCAGCGUGUAGCGGCAAUGCGGCCCAGCAAGAAGUCACCGGGGAAGAUCUCUUUACCCUGCUGGAGUUUUUUGCAUUCGUGGGGGAGAUGAUGGCACGGUUUCGGACCUGUCGAAACAAGGCAGAGCAAUUCCUGGCCCACAGGCAGCUAAUGAUUAAGCACAUCUACAAAGGAUAACACACUGUGAUCUAGUUAUUAGCUUUAUCUAUUUCUAUCUCGUUUUCCUUGCAAUUGUCUCUCUUAUUUUUUUUUAAUUUUGAUUACUAUGUAACGCACAGCUGAAAGGAACUCUCAAACUCUGUAAUGUGCUGCAAAAGAUCUUAUCGUAUCUUGAUCAUUCACCAAUAAAACUGAAUUAAAAUUGAAAAAAAUAUUUAAUUGAAACAUGAAUAAACAGUUCAAGUGAACUAAAGCAAACGCCUAUAUUUUACCGCAAUCACCAUGCGACGUGAUCGCCCACGUUUGUCAACAAAAGGGCUAUGGGAGAAAUGCUAAACCUAUUUCGAGACCAUUAGCGCCAACCAACAGUUUUAAACUCGUUAGUAUUUGGGCAGCAGAGGGGUUUAAUGAAUGAAUCAGCAAGUUUGAAAACAAUUCCGUUUCGUUCAGGCUGCGGAGGGGGCCUCAGACUAUCAAGUUGAUGACGUUCGUGUAUCGCGUUCUGUCCGUCCGGCUGUUGAACACCCAUACAAUCGUUCAAACGUUCAAAUGGAAGCAAACAAAACAUUGACCAACAGCUGGACGCAACUGCGACUUAUGUCCAGACUAAUCGUGCGGUGAAGUUGGGUUUAACACAAUUACAUUCACAGAGCAAAUGGCUAGAAGUGCCGGCGAACGUAAACACGUGUGCGUGAGGAGCGUUCAGCGUUGUUUGUACUAAGCCUAAUUGAGCUUAGUGAGUGCCGCACACACUAUCAGUGAAGGGGCAUCGCGCAUCGCAUAUACUACUUAUCUCAUACGCGCUCGAACUAAUUAGACCUACGUUAAAAUGCUUGUUUCAAAGCAUGGCCGUGCAAAAGAUGGAGGCGAAUGGUGUCAUCAUUUAUCGCUACAAUUUGCGGAUUUUUUUUUCUGUUCUGCAAAGAUUGUUAAUUUUAGUGCCUCUUUUAAUGCGAAAUUUAUCUAGGUUGAGGUCAUAAAAGGCGUCAUCCACAAAUUACGGCCCUCUAGAGGUAGCAAGUUUAGCCCGUUGCCGAAGUUUAUAAUUUUUGGCAAUAAAUCGAGAAGCGAAAAAACCCCUGAGAACCAACCAUUUUUAACUCGAUAGCAUUUGUGUUAUCAACUUUCAACAACUUUCAACUCGAUAGCAUUUGUGUUCGAUUGUGAUAGAGACCCUUUUAAAAGCGAGUUUUUCACCAAUGUGUUGUAUUGAGCAUGAGCAUGGAGCAUGAGAAUGAGAGACCACCCAUGGUUGCCUCUCCGUUGCUGAACAGAACCGUAAUAUCCUUUCAGCACUACUGAUCAUAGGCUUCGACGAUCUAGUGGUGUUUCCCUUAUCAACAGCAUCUAUGAAUGCGCCGAAAAGAUAAAACACAAUGUUUGCUAAAACUAGAUCAGUUGCGAAUAGGUAACAGUCAUUGGCCACCAACGGCGCCCGCCAUGUCAGUUUGUAGAUCUCGAUUUUAAGGGACGGGAAUGUUAGUUAGCGCAGGUUGCUACUAGGGCAGCUGAUUUACUCUGUGCUUACAACCCACAAGCGCCAAGAACCUGAAAAUUUGUUAGUAGGAUAGGGUGCUUGGUCAGGAUUCAUCAUAGAAGAUGAUGAUGCGACCCAAAAUCAUAGUGUUUGUUGAAAGGUUUUAUAUAUUAUUCUCAAGGCAAACAAUCGGAUGCUGCGGACGAGACAUUUCCCGUUUAACUGUUGUUAAAUUUUAAAUGAAAUGGUUUAAUCUUAGACAGCCGGCUGUGGAAAGAUAAAGCCAAAUAAUGUUUAUUUAUAGAAUGAGGUGUUAAACGCAAUGCUGCAAUGAUAGCGUAUUCUGAUUUUUUAAUUAUAUAACCAUUUAAUUCAUAAAUUUGUUACGGAAUAGACGCUACGAACUCAACCAUCAAAUGCCUUCCGAUCUUCUUUCUGUUAGCUAGAUGAGGUAUUGAUUUUCGUUGCCUCUCGAGCUACGAUGCUAUGUAGAGGGCUUAACACACAAACAACCGACGUCGAGCCCUCCGAGCUACGGAGCUAUGGGAAGGUCUUUUCAACACAAAAAAAAGACUCGCGCACCACACAACGUUCUUGAUGAAACAAAAUAUUAUUUUACGCGAUAAAACUAACGAACUCAACCGUCAAAUUGCCUUCCAACCAGCGAUGAUGAAGAAAGGGCUUUAAGCACACAAUAACUCUCCGAUUAAUUUCAUUUCACCAAUGUGUUGUUUUGAUUUUUUAAAAUCAAAUUUACGACUCGAAUACUUCAAACUUACGUGAAAUUUCCCAAGGAAUCCGAAUAUAUAAAAAAUUUGCCCAAAAAGUGCCGUCUUCUUGGGCUACAGGGCAAAAGUUAACGCUGUAAAAAGAUUGUUAUAGUAAAAUCGUAAAUCUUUGAGAAAACCUGCGAUUGGCCAAAAAGUUAAUUUCGUAGGCUCCAUGAAAUUACCUACCUUUUGACCUAUGGGAGUAUGGGUGUUGGAGGCUGUUGCAAAAGGAUAUUAAGGUUUUAAAAAAAUCCAUUUUUAACAGUAAUUUACAAAAGCUAUGAGAAAAAGUCAAACCAAUCCUGGAUGUCUAUGGCACAUUUUGAAGGUAUUCAAAGACUUAUCGAAUGCAUGUAAGAGAGUUAAAAUUGAUCAAGUUUUACGCAAAUGAGAGCAAUUUUAUGAUUUUUCAUGUUUUUUGCCCGUUUUACCCCACUUCCCUUUGUCGUAGAGGGCUCAUAUUUGGCAUAAGUUCAUCUCAUGUAUAGACAAACAAACGCUGAAAGUUUCAUCCAAAUCGGAGCACCUCGAUACGACCUUUAGAACAAACCGAGAAAAAUCUACAAAUGCUGCCUCUUAAAUGUUUAAAGGAUUAAUCCUUUUUACCAAAGUAAGCGUCUUUGGGGUUCAGAUUGAGAACUUCGAAGAUCAAAAUGAAGGUGUUUGACGAAGAUAGACGCAUUUAUAAAUGAAUUAACAUUACCAAAUAGCCUGGGCAACUUAUAUAAUUCUAAUAUAAAAGAUGAGAAGAAUUGAAAUCUUUCCAAUAAGAGUUCGAAAAAACGCGAAAAAUCUUAACAACAAUGCAAACGGCCGUUACCACUCGCCUAAAGCGUCCUAAGACAGUUCACCUUCAAAUCUUUAUCCAACUCCAAGCGAAGCUCGAAACAUGAGGAACCGUGGAGAAUUUCCCUUACACUCAGCAAAAAAAAAAAGAGAAUCAUCAACAUUUUCCAUCCUCUAUUAGCAAUCUCCAAUCAUAUGUUUAGUUGUCCCCGGUACCUGGUAGGUUCCGGAUGUGGACAAAAAUUGUAAAAAAAUAUCUUGAAGAAAAAUCAAGCCGGGUAUUUUGCAACGUUCAACCUUUUUUGUGAUUGUCUUGUCUGCGCUAGGGUCUGAUUAGAUUAGAUUAGAUAAAACUUAUCUAUUUACACACCGUCAUCUGAGACGAAUAGGUACAGCAGGUUACUUAAAAGCUUGAAAUUUGAUUAUCAAUGCACUAUUUUUGUUAAUCUGUGUCUGUUUUAUUCGAUACUACUCAAAAAUAUCCAAAUAUUGUGCAGUAACAAGGCUUAAUCAGCUGUCCCGGUUCGCCCCAGAUGACGGUAUGUAAAUAGAUAAGUUUAAUCUAAUCUAAUCAGACCCUAGCACAGCCAAUCUUUCGAAGGGAUCCUGGAGAGUGGCGUAGGUUAGAUUACGCAUAGCACUCUUCUUGUCAUUUAAUAACAUUUCUAGUGCCCCAUUGCAUUAGAAUGCAUUGAAACAUCACAAGCGUUAAAGCGGCCAGGACUACUGUGUAAAGACGUAUCGCAGAGACAUGUUUCGUUUGAAGUGGGUUGAGUUUAAGCACAGAUUGUUCGAACAACAACACAAUUCUGAAUCGGUAGGGGAGGAAGAAGCGUGGGGACACACCACCAUGGCGUCGCUAUUUUUAGACCACGUUUUCCACCUUAUCUCAUCGAAACCGACUACUUUAUCGACUUCAUUUUGCUGGGCGAGAUAAGACGUCGUCUAUUUUUAGACGAUGACUCAGCACUUUUCCACUCUUGCGCUUUAAAAAACCAGAUGGCAGCACGAUGUAACGCCACGUCCCUAUGCUCAGAAGGUUUGGUACUCCGGGACCCUCUGGGAUGGGGGACAUUGUAUUUCCACGAAUGCCCUGGACACUAUUUGCCGUGGUUAUAGCGCUACAACUUGCUCUCUGUAACAGUAGUCCUAAUUCCAGCCCAAGCUCACCAAGUCGUCAUGGCCUAGUGGUUAGCAUUUUUGCUUACCAAUCCAAAGGACAUAUUCAUAAUUAAAAAUUUUUAUGUUCUUAGCUUUCUCGUUGGGUGCCGAUGGGAAUCGAACCCAGAACCAUUCGCUUACAAAGCGAACACCGUAACCAGUCAGCCAUGGCCGCUCCUUCUCGGUAUGUAAAUAGAUAAGUUUAGGAGGAAAAGAACGUCAUUUACUGCGUUAAUCUAAAACUAAAUUAGAAAACUCUCUUGUUUGUUAGCCGGGUUCGAUGGUGUAGCGGAGUAGAAGUCGAACUAACAAUCCAGAGGUCGUCAGUUCGAAUCCCGGGGUGGAUAGGAAGUAAAAAGAGGUUUGGACAAGGUGGCCACUCAAAUCCCAUUUUCAAAUUCCCAACUUUUUCCCGACUUUUCCAAAAACUCAAAAAAUAGGCAUUUCUUAUCUAAAGAAUGAUUUCAUCGAACAAAAUUUUAAUAAAUUUUAAAAAUAAUAAAACUUUUGACAAUUUUCGUAAAAAACAUAAACAUCUAGUCUUUGACAAAUUACCGAAAGCUUGACAAUACAUCUAAUUUCAAAGUUUCUUUUAAAAUGGCAAACAUAAUGUUUUUGCAAUUCCGUCUUGAAACUACUUACUUUUCCUGUCAUUCUUGAACGACGAAAUAGCCUACUUUUCUGUACCAAAAAUAACAGAAUCGAAUAGCAACACUUUUCAAAAUAAAUGCUGAAAAGUUCUACUUUUCAGCACUGAAAUGGGUGCUGAAAAGUUGAACUUUUCAGCACUUGUUUCGAAAAGUAACACUUUUCAAAAAAAAAAUUGAUUUAAACGAUUUAUUGACAAAAUACAUGAAAAUUUGACUUAAAAUUUCACUCAAAGGGUGUUUUUCGAAAUUGCAAAAAAUGUUGUAUGGAACUCGUUGCAAAACUUGAUUUUUUCAGCACUCAUCGUAUUUAUCCAACUCGGUGAACCUCGUUGGAUAAAUGUACGACUCGUGCUGAAAAAAUCCUCUUUUUGCAACUUGUUGCAUAAACUACUAUUUUGAUACUUGAUUUUAAUUGGAAAUGAAAAGGGAUGGCAAAAAGUAAAAGAUAACUGUUUUUUUCCUAAUUUUUUUGUUUCAAACAUUCAAACAGGAUUACUGUUAUUAUUCUAUCAAAAUAAAUCAUUCCUUUUUUAAUUUUGUAAAUUUUGGAACAUAAUUUUUUUAAUCAAUGUAGAUUUAUCUAAAUAUAUUUUUAUUAUUUCUAAAGAAAAAUUCAGUUUGAUAACAUUCCAUGUUUUAACACUUAUUUCAAGCGACAUGUUUGAAGAGAAAAAUUCUUUAAACAUAUUUGUAAUAACAUAAACCCUUUUUUUCUAUAUUUUUCAUAACGUAAAAAGUUUUUUCAUUUCGAUUCAGACCAAAAAACGAUUGGAUUUUAUUUGAUAUUUUAGUUUUCCGCUGAUUUGCCCUUACUCACAAAAAUGUUCAAGAAUAACAUUUGGAAAAUAAAAUGCUUGAAAAAACUUUUUGAAUUUAAUUUAUUGAUUAAAAAAAACUUAAGUUGGCAUCGUUUUUUUCCAAUAUUCAAGCUAUGUGACCAUAACGUUAUCAAGAACCAUAACUUUACGCUGGCCAUAAUAGUUAAAAUUAGGCUCUAUUUUCAUAUUAGUUUUUCAUUACCUUUGUUAUUGUUUUUUUUAAGUAAGAUCUUGUUUGAUAAACAAAAGUAAAUAAAAAUCCUUUGAUUCAUACAAAAAUAUUAUGAUAAUCUGUCUCAAAUGCAUCCAACAUUUACUAGGAUUUCUAAUGUUUUUAAUAGACUUGGCAUUCUCAAUAAGAUUGAAAUAGUGAAAGGAACCUAAAAUUUCAAGUUAGUUACUAAAGACGAAUUGAGUGAAAUUAAAUUGAAAAUUGUACUAAAUAUUAUAAAAUUAUUCAAAGGUCACAACCAAUUUUCAAACAGAUAUGCUUGGAAUUCCCGACUUUCGCGACUUUUUGACAAAAAAUCACAAAUACCCGACAUUUUCCCGAUUUUCAGCGGAUUUUCGCGAAUUCCCGACUUUUCCCGACUUUCCCGAUUUCCCGACUAGAGUGGCCACCCUGGGUGUGGAUUGUCUCACCAUUUCACACCUUCGGAUACCUAGUUUCGAGUAAGAAUCUCGUAAUAGAGAACGCCAAAGCAGUGCUGUAAAGCGAACAAUUUGAUUUGAUUUUUUGGCUCGAAGCGAGGCAAUAAUGCUAGCGAAGUGAGAGAAGAGAGAAAUAUUGUUUGACAGAUCGUUCACUGGAAGCAACAACGCCAAUUGGCGUUCAAGAGCCAAAUGACAUGCGACAACUAGUGUUGAGUAGUAGAACAAAGCGAAUCUAAACAGUUGAAAUUGUCGCCCUUUGAGGUUAUGUAUGCGAAUUCUGUUUUGUUAAAUUCCAGCGUUCAAAAUUACUUUUGACUUAAAGUUUUGAGCAAAAAUUCAAGCUGAUCCUGUUUAAACUUUUGAUGCUCUAUCAUUUUACACAAUAUUUCUAGCAAAACAUUGCAAUAGGGCCGAAGAAAUGGGAAACCCAUUUAUUUUAUUUUAUUUUUUCAAAAAACCAUGUUCACGCUAUAUUAAAACCGGAUUCAUAUUCGGGUGCUCUGGAAUGUGCUCUACAACUUUCCCGAAGAGAGUAUGGUGCUAACUUGUUCUGUAAUUCUGUAAUUUCGGAAUACAUUCGUCCGGCUUCAGCUGAAGAUUCAUGCUGUCCCAUGUUGCAUGUUCGAGUGUAGACCUACGGAAAACCUUGCCGCGAGGAGAGGUGAGUGAGAAGUACACGAACCACCUACGACAUAAUUCCUCGGGCGGCCCAGGUCAACUCGAAGUUACCCCAGGCACCCCCAGUGCAGGACACAUUGGGGGUAGAAAGCGGAUAGAUAUUUCAGUGAAUACAAUAGUUAUGACAAUAUAGUUUCAUAUAAUCCUUGUUCCUUGAUCUUACCUUUUGACACUAUCAAACCUAGCAAUAUUACUAUUGCAUCUUACCAUUCCCUUUUGAUAGUGUCAACUUCAAACCUUCAUCCAUUGUACAAUUAACACAUAAUUUCCGCUAUAUUCUUCAUGCGGAAUCGUCGUCUACUUUCUUCGCCUUAUUAUCACUUAACCACGACGCGAUAUUGUUCUCACAUUUUUUGAGCUUCAACGACCGAUUGUUAUUCACGCACUUAUAAAAAUACUUGUUCUGUUUCGCGGCUUUGUCUACUUUAAUUUUGGACAUGAUUAUCUUUUCACUGUGAAAUACACACCGUUGGCUGAUACAAUGACUUUUUCGGUCAUCGUAUGCUCGCAAGGUACAUGAAAAAGACAAAGAGAAAAAAUGGGAUUAGUACAAUGUAAAAUAAAAUCGAACAUUGAAUAACAGACUAACACAGAAAGAAAGAAUAAAGAAACCUUCAGAACUACCAACUUGUAACGAGAAGCUUACUAGAAAACAACUGAAGUUGUGAAAUAUGGGACAAGACAAACAAACUUGAAUAGCUAACAUAUA